rnacentral:ncRNA from 2 species
GGCCGCUGCUCGGGGUGCCGGAAAGACCGGCUGAGAGGCAGUGCGCUGCCAACCCGUCGAACCUGAUCCGGGUCGUGCCGGCGUAGGGAAGCGUCUGCCGUUCCGG